rnacentral:tRNA from 1 species
GGAUGAUUAGCUCAGCUGGUAGAGCAAUUGACUCUUAAUCAAUGGGCCCAGGGUUCGAGUCCCUGAUCGUCCACCA